rnacentral:rRNA from 1 species
AGUGAACGCUGGCGGUAGGCCUAACACAUGCAAGUCGAACGGCAGCACAGUAAGAGCUUGCUCUUACGGGUGGCGAGUGGCGGACGUGUGAGGAAUACAUCGGAAUCUACUUUUUCGUGGGGGAUAACGUGGGGAAACUUACGCUAAUACCGCAUACGACCUACGGGUGAAAGCAGUGGAUCUUCGGACCUUGCGCGAUUGAAUGAGCCGAUGUCGGAUUAGCUAGUUGGCGGGGUAAAGGCCCACCAAGGCGCGGAUCCGUAGCUGGUCUGAGUGGAUGAUCAGCCGCACUGGAACUGGGACACGGUCCAGGCUCCUACGGGAGGCAGCAGUGGGGAAUAUUGGGCAAUGGGCGCAAGCCUGAUCCAGCCGUACCGCGUGGGUGAAGAAGACCUUCGGGUUGUAAAGACCUUUUGUUGGGAAAGAAAAGCAGCAGGUUAAUACCCCGCUGUUCUGACGGUACCCAAAGAAUAAGCACCGGCUAACUUCGUG